rnacentral:rRNA from 1 species
AACCNUCNNCUGCAGUCGACGAUUCCUACGGGAGGCAGCAGUGGGGAAUAUUGGACAAUGGGGGCAACCCUGAUCCAGCCAUGCCGCGUGGGUGAAGAAGGCCUUAGGGUUGUAAAACUCUUUCAGCGGGGAAGAUGAUGACGGUACCCGCAGAAGAAGCCCCGGCUAACUCCGUGCCAGCAGCCGCGGUAAUACGGAGGGGGCAAGCGUUGUUCGGAAUUACUGGGCGUAAAGGGCGUGUAGGCGGUUUGUCUAGUCAGGCGUGAAAGCCCCGGGCUUAACCUGGGAACUGCGUUUGAUACUGACAGGCUAGAGGUUGGGAGAGGAGAGUGGAAUUCCCAGUGUAGAGGUGAAAUUCGUAGAUAUUGGGAAGAACACCAGUGGCGAAGGCGGCUCUCUGGUCCACACCUGACGCUGAGGCGCGAAAGCGUGGGGAGCAAACAGGAUUAGAUACCCUGGUAGUCCACGCCGUAAACGAUGUGUGCUAGACGUUGGAUGUUCAGCAUUCGGUGUCGGAGCUAACGCAUUAAGCACACCGCCUGGGGAGUACGGCCGCAAGGUUAAAACUCAAAGGAAUUGACGG